CCUGCUUAGUAUAGUGGCUAGUACUCUGAGUUGUGCGGAGGGCGUGGUUCGAUUCCAGCAGCAGGCAUUGAUACUU
ensembl:ncRNA Y40H7A.310 ncRNA